rnacentral:rRNA from 1 species
GACGAACGCUGGCGGCGCGCUUAACACAUGCAAGUCGAACGGAAAGGCCUGCUUUCCCUUGUGGAUUGCGGGUACUCGAGUGGCGAACGGGUGAGUAACACGUGAGUGAUUUGCCCCCAACUUGGGUAUAAGCCUGGGAAACUGGGUCUAAUUCCCGAUAGGACUGCAGGGUGGUGCCUGUGGUGGCAAACGAUUUUCUAGUGGUUGGGGAUGAGCUCGCGGCCUAUCAGCUUGUUGGUGGGGUAAUGGCCUACCAAGGCGGCGACGGGUAGCCGGCCUGAGAGGGUGGACGGCCACAUUGGGACUGAGAUACGGCCCAGACUCCUACGGGAGGCAGCAGUGGGGAAUAUUGCACAAUGGGCGGAAGCCUGAUGCAGCGACGCCGCGUGGGGGAUGACGGCCUUCGGGUUGUAAACUCCUUUCGACCGCGAGGAAGCCACCUGGUUGGAAGGGUGGUGACGGUAGUGGUAGAAGAAGCACCGGCUAACUACGUG